rnacentral:rRNA from 1 species
AUUGAACGCUGGCGGCAGGCCUAACACAUGCAAGUCGAACGGUAACAGGAAGAAGCUUGCUUCUUUGCUGACGAGUGGCGGACGGGUGAGUAAUGUCUGGGAAACUGCCUGAUGGAGGGGGAUAACUACUGGAAACGGUAGCUAAUACCGCAUAAUGUCGCAAGACCAAAGAGGGGGACCUUCGGGCCUCUUGCCAUCGGAUGUGCCCAGAUGGGAUUAGCUAGUAGGUGGGGUAACGGCUCACCUAGGCGACGAUCCCUAGCUGGUCUGAGAGGAUGACAGCCCACAGGGGAACGGAGACCGGCCCAAGAGCCCGCGGGGGGGAGGCAGUGGGGAAUAUUGAACAAGGGGCGAAAGUUGGAUGCAGUUAUCGGGGGGGAAGGAAGAGGCCUUCGGGGUUUAAAAGUCCUUCCCGGGGGGGGAAAGGGAGAAAAUUAAAUACCUUCCUUCAUGGAGGUUACCGGAGAAAGAAGCCCCGGCAAACCCCGUG